GGUGAACCUGCGGAAGGAUCAUUACCGAGUUCUCGGGUUCGGCUCGAAUCUCUCCCACCCUUUGUGAACAUGCCUCUGUUGCUUCGGCGGCUCCCGAGCGCGCCACCCCCCCGGGGGGGUGCGACCGCGACCGCCGGAGGACCUCAAAACUCCAGUCAGUGAACGUCUACGUCUGAUAAAAAAAAAAGUCAAUAAAUUAAAACUUUCAACAACGGAUCUCUUGGUUCUGGCAUCGAUGAAGAACGCAGCGAAAUGCGAUAAGUAAUGUGAAUUGCAGAAUUCAGUGAAUCAUCGAAUCUUUGAACGCACAUUGCGCCCCUUGGUAUUCCGAGGGGCAUGCCUGUUCGAGCGUCAUUACAACCCUCAAGCUCUGCUUGGUAUUGGGCGUCGUCCUCUCGCGGACGCGCCUCAAAGACCUCGGCGACGGCGUCCAGCCCUCAAGCGUAGUAGAAUAUACACCUCGCUUUGGAGCGGUCGGGCGUCGUCCGCCGGACGAACCUUCUGAACUUUUCUCAAGGUUGACCUCGGAUCAGGUAGGGAU
rnacentral:rRNA from 1 species